UACCAAAAUUGGGACUUUCCGUCAGCUUCCAUUUGACCCGCUGGCACGAUUUGAUGACAAUCGCAGGCACUGCUUGGCAGAACAGUGUGUCUGUGGGCAUCUCCCUUCUCCGCCGGGUUUCCCCUUUGCAUUUCCAAUCCUUCACCCUCUCUUCAAAUCUCUCCUUUUCACCUCAUUUCCCACGAUCAACACCAAGAACCUUUGCCGUUUCAAUGGCCAAUGAAUCCCGCAGUGGAGUGGUUCGAUUCAAAGUGUCUCCCUCAACCGAUUGCGUUAUUCAGAAGGGUGACAUCACAAAGUGGUUCAUCGACGGUUCUUCUGACGCCAUUGUCAAUCCAGCAAAUGAGGUAAUGCUUGGAGGUGGUGGCGCUGAUGGAGCCAUACAUAAUGCUGCUGGGCCAGAUCUUGUACGAGCAUGUUAUUCUGUCCAAGAAGUCCAACCUGGAAUCCGUUGUCCAACUGGAGAAGCAAGGAUUACGCCAGGUUUUCGGUUGCCAGCAUCUCAUGUAAUCCAUACUGUUGGACCUAUCUACAACGCCAGUAGAAACCCCCAGGCCCUACUGAGAAGCGCAUAUAGAAAUUCCUUGGCUGUGGCAAAGGAGAAUAACAUUCAAUAUAUUGCAUUUCCUGCCAUAUCCUGUGGUGUAUUUCGAUAUCCUUACGAUGAAGCUGCCACAAUAGCCUUAUCUACCAUUAAAGAGUUUUCCCAGGGUUUGAAAGAAUUUGAAGCUGCUCCUUUCAGGCUUUCGAUUUUCUUUAGCUUGACCUAGAAGAUAUAGCUCUUUGAUCAAUGAACUUCUUCACUUGCCCUUUCCUAACAAGGAGCAUUAUCUGUGGUUCGCUCUGGUUUGUGCGGAGACAACAACGGGAGAAAAAAACUAAGAUAGGUUUCAUGCAAAAAAGACUACUUUUAGCAUGAGCCAAGACCAUGUUAUGGUUAUAACUUCCUCUUUUGCACUUAAUUAAUUUAGGAGCAUAGAAUUAAAACCUAGCAUAUAUGUAUGAAUAUUAAAUUACAAGUAGGGCAUUUUGAAUCUUCUGCUAACAUCUAAAAGUAUUCCCUAAUUGAGAUAUUUCAAUGCACCUACUAAUCUUAAGUUUCUAAUUUUCGCUGCUCUCUGUAUACCCCUCAUGUUCUUAGAGCUUUGUCUCUUUAUUAUUACUAUCUAAUAAAGAGAUGCGUUUCAUUUAAAAAAGAAAAAAAAGCAAAAAAACUUCCAAAAGUAUUCCCAGUCUAUCCUGUAGUCGCCACAAGUAAAGUCACUACAAGUAAAUCGUUUUUGUCUUAGCUUGAGAAGGUAGAAGUAUUUAAAAAGUUUUAUCAAGCUUAGAAAAGUCUUUAGUCAUGACUCAACAUUGAAGUCGUGUACCCCCUACGACACUGUUCACGAUGUCGAGCCGUGUACCCAACUCGUAUAUGAUGUCGUCCGAGGUCGAGUUCGUCAUUAAAGUUGUGUACCUCGUACAUGUCUAGGCUUAACUGUCUAUCCAAUGUGGCAACAUUGAUAACCAUAUUGUCUGGCAUGCACAAAGUCAUGAACCGGGUGCACGACUUCAAUACCUAGUGUGCGCAGUCCACAAAACCCUUUCGCCAGCCCUCAUCAUACUGCCGUUAUCUUUAAAAAAACAAGAAAAAACCUUCCUCCCCUUUGGCUGCCACCGUGUCCAGCCCAAUUGUUGUAAUCGCCGUCCCACCGUUCAUCAUCCAUUUCUACCAUUACUACCAUCUAAGGUAUAUUCUUCUUUUAUUUUUUAUUCAUUUUUGUUUAUCAAGUGUAAAUCUAUUUGUAUGAUUUAGUUGAAUUUCAUAUUUCUUUUGUUGUAUAUAGACUUGUAUGUUUUAAUUGUUGAGUGUUAUUGGGUAUGAUUGGAUUGUAUGUAAUGUAAAAAUCUAUUUGUAUGAUUUUUGUUCUAUAAAAGUGCGGGCUUGAUGUAUUGAUACGUAAAUUCUUAAAACAAAAAUAGAUGUCGGGCAUAUUUUGUAAUAAAAAUUUAGAUUGUUUAAUUUUGGACAUGAUGUAUUUUAAGUGUUAUUGGAGGCUAUAUUUGGAUUUGGACUGAUUGGGCUUUAAAAUGAAAGUGAGUUGGGUUGACUCUCUUGUAUUUUUCUAGAUUUUUUUGAACUAAUUUUUUUUGUUUGAUUAGAGUAAUGUUGGAAUGAGUUAUGAUCCUGAUAUUUUUCCAACUUUAGCGGUUUAAAUAUGUCGAUGCGACCUAAAGAUCUAGUUAUUCUUGAACCUUGUAAUGAUAAGGAUAACGAUAUUAACGUAGACGUUGAUGAAUUAUUAUGAAAGGAAAGAAAUUCAGAGCAUGAAAGUGAUAUGAUACCAUCCGAGAUAUUUACCCAAAUAGAUUGGAAUAUUAUUGAUUCUAUUUGUGAGUAAGGGUCAACAUUAGGGAUAUAUAUGUAGACAGUUAUUGUUUAAUUCAAAAGUGAAUGUGUGUGAUCAAAUACUCAAUUGACUUGGGUUACAAUUCGUACAACUACACUCAAUCAAUAUGCGAGUUUGUCAUACGAUUUCUCUCCAUCACCAAAAACAACAAUUAGUGCUUCUCUUUGCUUGCAAUACCCAUCUGUACUUGACAUUGUACCGUACUGUUUUUUAAUUAUUUCUUGGAACAAUGUCACAGUAACACAUGAAACUCUAAUCAUAUUUUGAAUUUCAAUACUCAUAAAAUUAGAAUCGAACUGUGAAUUAUCUUGUGUUAAUUCUAAAUACAAACACGAGCGUUCCUCUUCGAGCCUAGUAAUUUCAAACAUUCUGUGACUUACGCCUACUUUCAAGUAACCUCCAAUUACAGCUCUCCUUCCACUGUUUGCAUCUGACAUACCGAAUAUUUUGUUUCGAUCCUACUACAACAAUCUGUCAUUAACAGCCAAUUGAAGAUCUUUACGGUAAAAAAAACAUUCACAUAUAUAUUCUUAUCUCUUAAUGUUGACCCUUGUUCACAAAUAGAAUCAUCCAUGUGGGUAAAUAUCUCAUAUGGUCCAUUUCAUUUUCAUGCUCUUUAUUUUCUGCCUUUCAUAAUAAUUCAUCAACUUCUACAUCAAUAUCAUUAGCCUCAUCAUUAUCAGGUUCAAGAAUAACUAUAUCUUAAGGUCGCAUCGACAUAUUUAAUUAACUGUUAAAGUUGGAAAAAUAUCGUGAUCAUAACUCGUUCCAACAUUACUCUAAUCAAACAAAAAAUGUAGUUCAAUACCCAAAUAGAAACUUUACUUUGCCUAAUCGGUCUAAACAAUAACAAGAGAGUCGACUCAGCUCACUUUCAUUUUAAAGCCCAAUUAGUCUAAAUCCAAAUAUAGUCUCCAAUAACACUUAAAACACAUCAUAUCAAAUUUUAAAUAAUCCAAAUUUUCAUUCCAAAAUAUGCCAACCAUCUAUUUUUGUUUUAAGAAUUCACUUAUGAAUAUAUCAAGCCCACACUUUUAUAGAACAAAAACCGAUAGAUAGAUUUUUACGGUACAGAUAAUCCAAUCAUAGUCAAUAACAAUUAAAACAUACAGCUUUAUAGCGUUCUAUUCACAAUGCAAUAUAUUAUUUAUAGAACAAAAAAUAUGAAAUUAUACAAAUAGAUUUACAAUUGAUAAACAAAAAUGUAAAGAAUAGAGAAGAAGAAUAUACCUUAGAUGGUAGCUAUGGAAGCAAUGGAUGAUGAAUGGUUGAGCUGGAAAUGGUGGUCGAAAGGGAGGAAGGGUUUAUUUUUGAAAGAAAAUGGAAGUAUGGUGAGGGCUGGAUGAAAGAGGUGUAGAGUUUAGUUGAGGAAGUUGUAUACCCAGUACCCAACUAGGCAUUGAAGUCGUGCACCAAGUCCACGACUUCAUGCAUGCCAGACAAAAUGGCAGUCAACGCUAUCACUCUAGACAGACAGCUAAGCCGAGUUAUGUAUGGGGUACACGACUUCAAUGCUGAGUCGUGUAUUGGCUACACAACUUUGCCACCCUAUUUUUACAUUACUUUUCCAACAAUUUUAUUUUUGACAACAUUUAUUUAAAUAACAUUAUUAUAAAAAAAAAUCCAUACGAGGCUUAUUAUUAUUGUCUGUCCUUUUCUUUUCCUAAAAAACAGACCUCCCACAGCCACGAUAUCCCUCAUUUCUCCAUGCCCAAACAGUUGCACCCAAACCUCCACGUGUAAAUUGAUGAAUUUUAUGGUAUUUAACUUGUUAUUUUGAUGUUUUCAAAUGGAAUAUUUUACAAUAUGUUUAUGUGCACGACAUGCAUUUAAUCUUUUUAAUAAAAAAUAACAUGUCCUUGACGUGUCAUGUCCUACCUUUUUUAAAAUUGGCACGUCGCUGUUUUGGUGUCGUCGUGUCGGUGUUCGUGCUUCCUAGAUUGUGGAAAUAAUGAUGACGUAGUUUGAAAUUUGGUCAACAAAUCUAUCUUGCAUAUCUUGCAUGCCAUUCUCAGAGUGGAUAUCUCCAAAGAAAAAAGAUAAAAGAUUUCAGCUGAAUGCAUAUUUUCGAAAACGCCUGAGAUAGAUUGGCCUUACCUUGACGACCUUAGAGCUUAAAAGCUUUAGACUUGGCCUAGUGGUCUAGUAGAUAGUAUUAAUAGAUUCUGGAUUGCUCUCUUUGCGAACUCAACAGUAUCAUCCACGUGAAGUUAAAAGGAUAAAUUGUUCCUUGUGGUAGCCUAGAAUGGCGUACCAUUCUCUGACUCUCCCUUCCUUUUCAUGCUAGAGGGAUACCCCUCUAGCUGCCUUACUGAUCAAUGUCUUGAUAAGAAGAUCCUUGAAGGCUUCAAGUUGGGAAAGUAGAAAACAGGGGUUUCUCAUUUUCAUACCUUGUAGCCUCUAUCAACCUGCCAUACCCACCAUCAUAGCGAUGACAGUUAUGAGAAGCUGCUUCAAAAGCCGGUUCUUGGAUGAAAGCCAGUUCUUUCAGACAUCCCUGACAUCUUUUGCCCCUUCAAAAUUCAUGUCCUGGUGCCUAAAACCUUGGAGAAAAUCAUAUGGGAUUUCACGUGGAAAGGAGUUAGCCAAGAUCUAGGUGCACUUUGUCCUUUAUGCUCCUGAUAUUUACAAUGUUUGGUUGGAUAAGGCAAAUGAACUGCUCAAGAACUAGUGCAGGCUGCGUUGGUAAUUGUAUCAUUCACCUUCGCCCUUUAACGCUUGUGUCGUAUUCAUCUCAACAGAAUUAUGCUUUCUCAUCAAAUUAUCUGAAUGGGCUAUUCAAUAAACUUUGGAUCGUUUCUACAA